rnacentral:lncRNA from 1 species
CUAUACGGCAAUAUACUGCACAUAAGUCGGAACCACUGAAAAGGUCUGUAGGACAAGAUUGGGUGUACUAUAGUUAUGCUCAAUUUUACUCUCUCAUAAUAGCCGGGCGAUAAAUCGCUAGUCACCUACGAGUCGGAACCAUAAUUAAGGUCUGCACGACAAGACUGUGCACUUAAGUUGGAUCCAAUAUGAGCAUAUAGUGCGGGAGGUGACAUAAAUAAACAGGCAUGUACUUCAUAUCUCUGGCUAAAUCACAAUCACUGUAGGUGCAAUUGUAUGAGCUCAACAUCAAUCCAUCACAUACCACAUCAUCGAUGAUUCACAUAGCCAAACAUAACUUACCUGAACUUACCUGUGCCUC